rnacentral:lncRNA from 1 species
AAGAACCAGAGGCGGAAGACAACCUUAGUUGUAGUUUCUCUUUCCUUUCCAUAUUGUAUUUGAUUUCCUUAAAACAUUGGGGACAAUGUUUAGUUUAAGUAUGGGGGGGAAACCAUGUUCUUUCUAUUUUCAUAUUUCAAGUAUGUACCUUUCCCUCCAUUGUUUUGUUUUAUUAAUUAUUAAAAAAAAAAAAAAUCUAUUAUUUUAAGUUAAGUCCCGAGUGUGAAUAAAUUUCUAUUAUCUAUUCCCUCAAACUUUCAUGAGCCACACAACAAAAACUCAACACCCAGUAAGUAU